rnacentral:rRNA from 1 species
CACGUAGGGGGCAAGCGUUGUCCGGAUUUACUGGGCGUAAAGAGCUCGUAGGCGGUUCGGCAAGUCGGGUGUGACAACUCCAGGCUCAACUUGGAGACGCCAUUCGAUACUGCGAUGACUUGAGUCCGGUAGGGGAGUGUGGAAUUCCGGGUGUAGCGGUGGAAUGCGUAGAGAUCCGGAAGAACACCAGUGGCGAAGGCGGUUAGCUGGGCAGUUGCUGACACUGAUGCGCGACAGCGUGGGGAGCAAACAGG